UCUGGAUCAGUGAUGUUAAUGUUUUUACUGCAUUAUCUAUCUGAAAUCCUGUUGAGGAUAGACUUACUUCCUGAGAUCCAGU